CCGGAAUCGCUAGUAAUCGCAGAUCAGCAUGCUGCGGUGAAUACGUUCCCGGGUCUUGUACACACCGCCCGUCACACCAUGGGAGCCGGGAAUGCCCGAAGUCAGCGGCCCAACCGAAAGGGGGGAGGCUGCCGAAGGCAGGCCUGGUGACUGGGGUGAAGUCGUAACAAGGUACC
rnacentral:rRNA from 1 species